AUCCAGCUGACGAGUUCCAAACACGACGAAAUUCUGAUCUUGGAU
rnacentral:hammerhead_ribozyme from 1 species